UACGGGGGGGGCAAGCGUUGUUCGGAAUUACUGGGCGUAAAGGGCGCGUAGGCGGUCAGACCAAGUCGAGUGUGAAAUUCCAGGGCUUAACUCUGGCACGCUCGCUCGAUACUGGUCGGCUAGAGUGUGGAAGAGGAUGCUGGAAUUCCCGGUGUAGCGGUGAAAUGCGUAGAUAUCAAGAGGAAUACCUGAGGUGAAGACGGGUUGCUAGGCCGACACUGACGCUGAAGCGCGAAAGCCAGGGGAGCAAACGGG
rnacentral:rRNA from 1 species